CUCGUAUAUACCAUUUUAUGUAAAGGGAGAAUUUUAUAACCAACCACUGACACUUUUUAGCAUCUCCUUGAGAUAAGCAGUCUAAUCUCUUGUUUUAGAAGUGGAUGCACAUCCAGAAUACAGCAAGGCCGCUGCAAGACUCACAGAG